rnacentral:rRNA from 1 species
CCAGACUCCUACGGGAGGCAGCAGUGGGGAAUAUUGCACAAUGGGGGAAACCCUGAUGCAGCGACGCCGCGUGAGUGAAGAAGCGUUUCGGCGCGUAAAGCUCUGUCAGCGGGGAAGAAACACGGUUCGCGAGAGCCGCGGACGGUACCCGACCAAGAAGCCCCGGCUAACUACGUGCCAGCAGCCGCGGUAAUACGUAGGUGGCAAGCGUUAUCCGGAUUUAUUGGGUGUAAAGGGCGUGUAGGCGGGAGCGCAAGUCAGAUGUGAAAACUCAGGGCUCAACCCUGAGCCUGCAUUUGAAACUGUGUUUCUUGAGUGCUGGAGAGGCAAUCGGAAUUCCGUGUGUAGCGGUGAAAUGCGUAGAUAUACGGAGGAACACCAGUGGCGAAGGCGGAUUGCUGGACAGUAACUAACGCUGAGGCGCGAAAGCGUGGGGAGCAAACAGGAUUAGAUACCCUCGUAC